AAGAAAGUAGCAUAAAUUAGUGCAACUUAAUUACACUAAGUAGGUAGGAUGACUUCUCUUUCUUA
rnacentral:tRNA from 1 species